AAAAAACCCUUUUUGAGAAAGAGAUCUCUCCCAUAUUUGACAAAAAGUAUAGAUGUGUGAACUAAGAUGAAAUCAUGGAGCAGUCUGAUCAGAACCACCAUUCAUCUGCCUCACACAGAACUCCCAAGGCAUGUUUCAUCGAUGUAAAUAGAAGAUGGCCGAAGAACGACUUUCACUCUGGCAGAGACCACGCCUGGAAUGCUGGGUUCCUGGCUGACUAUUGUCCCACUGGCUCUUGGUGCGUCUCUGAUGAUUUGUGAAUAAACAUAUAUACACUCAACAAGAAUGGAAUUGGUAGUCACAUGUCAUAAGACCAUUAGAUGGUAUGUAGCCACACUUGCAUAUUUCCAGGAUUAUGUAAUCAUAUGAAGCAGUGACAGGGAAAGAAGGAGCUGAGGCACACCGAGCUUGCCCAACCACUGUGGAAUAGGCCCUGAAGACACAAUUAUGGGAGCAGAAGCUCAGUGAUACAAAGUAAUCCCUCCGAAUUUCCACUGAUGAUUUAAAUCCCUCUGGGAAUGAUGUACCUUACUGCUAAUCUCUUUGUUCCAUCCUAAACUGCCAGACAAUUCUUUUUUUUUUAAUCUUAUUCAAUCUUCCUCCCAAGGUGAGCAGGGCUUGCAAUAACUUUUGAACCCUUUAACAGUACAGUAAUUCAAGAGAAGACAUUUAAUGAAAAGCGAAUGCUUUCAGACAGUUCUCACUUGAAGGCUUCUGAAAUAUUCAACCCAACGUUUUCAAAAAAGAUUUUUCUGCUUCUCCAAAGUACUGCAGAAGGCCAGUAGAAAUGAAUUGCUUUGGCUGUAAGUCUUCAAAGAAAGCUAAGUUCCUUAGUUUGGCUACUCAAAUCAAAUUUGGAAGCUACCUAGGAAUUUUCUCACUUGUUGAUCUCUGGAAGGGCAAUUAAUCAAGCUCUUGUUGGAGGCAACUCGAACUUUAAUCACAACACUAUGGAGGGAAAGUCAGAAAGCUGCACGCUCAGAAUAUUCAGCGGUAUAUGUAAUUGAAAACAGCAACAAGAGAAGAAAAGUGGAUGCCAGUGGGCUGCUAUGUUAUAAACUUUGGUCAGGCAGUACUUGGCAAAUUUCAGCAGAUUUAGUUAAACCAGCGAUAAAACGAAGCAGUAGAAUACCGUUAAAACAAAACAAAAGUAUUAACACAGAAUCAGGAAUAACCAGUGAAAAACAGUGCUGUACCUAAUAGCUUGGAUCUACCAGAGGCAAUCUGUUAGGCGACUGGAGUCAUUAUUUCAUAGUGGAGGCUUGAAAUCAAAACUUUUAAGUUUCUUUAGGUCAAGCUAUAGCACAGCGUUCGGAGAGGCAGCCAGAAUCUCUGAGGGAAAUGGGGAAGGCCACAUGUGGAACUAAUUACUCAUGGAGAGGCCAUGACAAAGAGCAUUUCUCCAGACUUUUCAUGGGGGCUUCACUUUCAGGAAGUUGCUAUAAUUACUGUUCAAGUCUAGAGCAGCCUGCAAGCCGCUGACAGAUCCAACAGACAGGAGGAGGAGGAGGAGGGAGAAAGAGAGAGAGAGAAAGAGAGAGAGAGAGAGAAGAAAAAAUGAACUUAUCUGCCCUUUCUGACGAGUGAAAUACCAGAAAAUAAAGUACCACAGGAAAGCUCAAAACGGUUUCCAAAUGAGCCCUGGCUUCCAGUGUUCAACUUUCUGUUUACUUUUGUUUUUUUUAAUCUAUCCUCUAUCUUCCAAUUACUUUUCUAGCCUGGCUCGGACAGCAAAUUUGUACUUCUCCACGAACGCACUUUCAGUUGGCCACAGCAGAACUGUACAUCUCAACUUUUUUUUUUUUUUACAGCUUUUCCAUACUGGGGCCCACUUCCUGCCCAGUUGAGGAAAAAAAUCUGGCCUGAAGAUGAAAUGACUGCUUAACAUUACACUAAAACAUCUGGUACCAUUUUAUGCACAGACCCAUGUCUGAGAGCAGGCGAUUCUAGCGGUCUCUCCAGCGGCACAGCGCAUACCCAAACCUCCCCAGGGUGACAUCAUCCCAUAUAUGGACUCUCCAGCCCAGCCCUCCCCCUUUUCCUGGUCCUAAAUUCAUUGCCAGUUCCCCAGUCUGCAGCAAAUGUGCCACGUCAAGACUGGAAAUCACAGCCCUUGAGUCUCAGUCGGGGCAGCAGAAUUCAGGGGGGGAAGCCGAAUGCAACCCCUGGUGCAGGAAGGGAGGCUUUUCCCAAAGACCAGGAGAGGAUUUUAAGUACAUAGAUGGAAGCUUCUGGAGAUCCUGCUCCGUCGCCCCAGUGUUCAGACUACCUGUUCAGGACAAUGCCGUUGUACAGUAGUCUGCACAUUGGUUAGACUGGGCAAGGGACAACAACGCUACGGACGGCCGGGGACACCAGUCGCUGUUUCCAAGGAGAAGACGUUUGUUCGCUCCUUUUUCGAAUCUCAUACCCAGUGUUUUUCUUCACAGGUUUUGCACACUAGAGACCAAGAAGCCCUCGGGGACACUGCCGAGAAAGGACUGCUCAAGGGAAGACCUGUGGGUAAGGCCUUCUUGACUGCUCACCUGGGCUGGGACCAGGAGAGCCGCGGUGGGGAGCCGGUGGUUUGUGUUCACAUGCGAGAGAAACUGAGGCAGCCAUGGGACCGAGUGCUCUGCAUUUAAUUUUACAAGAGCAACAGUGUGUGGUACAUAGCGACUGACUAGAUGGUACUGGAUUUCUGAAGAGUUAUAAGUAUUUCCUGAAGUUAAAAGGUUUUCCCACUUUGAAAUGAAGUAUGAAAAGACUCCCACACGAGAAUAAUUUAAUGAGGACAGUUUUGAAUUGUUGAAAUUAAUAAUACAGAGACCUAAAAACUUACUUGAAUGAGGACUGUAGUAUAACAUUUCACAUCCCAGGAUUGAAUUAAUUUUGCCCCAAAGUAAAGAAUACUUGCUAUUUUUAACAUGUUAUAUGAAUACGGCUUUUCUUAUAAUUUACUUAUGCAAUAUAAAUAUCGGGAAUAAUAGUAGCUAACAAUAAAAGAAGAGGCUGCCAAGUUUUUGCCUACCAGACAAUGCAGAUGGGACCGGUCCAGAAAAGAGCACGAACCUAGAACUUACAGAGUCAGCAACCAAUUAAAUCGGGGAAUAGAAAUCUCUAUCUUCAGAUAUCCCAAUAUACAUCUCUGUAUUACUUUUCUUUUUUUUUAAAUCUAAGAAUAGUUGAUAACUGCUGGUCAGCUGAGCCCCCGCGCCUAUGUUUUACAAUGCUUCUAUUUCUCUGAGCUCUUAAGAUGAUAAGGUACUUUGUCUACAAACCCACUGAUAAAAAAGGAAUUUGUAAACGAAAGCAAAGUUUUCUUUGGUCAGUUUCCAGCUGUCCUGGGGGUGAAGGAUGGUGGGAGAGGGGGUGGAAGGUAGGAGGGAGGAAACCCUCAAGCUGAAUGAAAUCCCAAUAGAGAGAAUAGAGAAAGUCUGGGUUGCAAUAUGAUCCAUGCUGAACUUAAGAGGUGGGUCCCUUAAAGAAAGUUCUGGAAAAAUGCUACUGCCUCAACCCUCAUUUAUAUCUACCCCCAAACAAUUCUAUGUAAUGAAAACGUCUGUUCUUUAGGCUUUUGUGAAAAGUGAAUGUAAUCUCUUUUGUCCUCCUUUAAAUUCUUCACAGUUACAGUGGUUCCUAAACAAAGCCUUUUCUAAAUCAUACAUUUUGCAGCAAUUCAAAAAUUGUUCCAAGUUCUCUUUGGCAAAACAUUUAAUUACCAAAGGUUCCCCAAGUUAUCUUUUGUCACAACAACUUAUUUUAAAAAUUACCCCUCUGAUCAUUCCAAAACUGGUUCAAAGAACAUAAUUUUUUUUCUCUUAUUUACAGCUUUAGUUAAAAUAUAAAGAGCAAGGAUUUGUUUUUGCUAUUUUCUCCACUUAAAUGAUACAAUAAUGUCAUCCUUUAUUUUUUCUAUUAUAUCUCGAAGGCUUCCAUAUUAAUUAUUUUUAACAGAACAAGUGAGAUUUUUAAAAAAAUCUGUUUCCUAUGUUUCUUUUACAUAGAAAAACUGAAACAAAAUCUAUUAGAUGUAUUUUAUAGGAGCUUAUUUUUUCAAAAAAUAUAUUUUUAGUAAUUGAUACAGUCACUAAAGAAGAUAGCUAUAAGGUAUUUUGGCAAUAUUAAGGUUUCUCAAAUUUGGGGGAGUUUGGGGUUUUUUUUUCACUCCAUAGAAAUGACUGGAUUUCCUAUCUUGCUUUCAUUUCAUGUAUAUUUAAUUUAAAUAUCUUUCUUCAUAUUAAAUGGCCUUCUUGUUUCAAAGAAACUACCACUGGUUCCUCACCGAUUUUCUCCAUCAAGAUGACUUUUAGUCUGGAGACAGAGGGGACCGGAGGGUGUCCUUGGCGUAAGUACAGGAGUAGGAACGUACGAAUUGAUUUGCAAAGGGGUAACUGAGGAGCCCCUGCACGUGCUUCGCGGAGCUCUGCUGACAAUCCAUUUUUGAUGCAAACUUUUAACAAAUGGGAAGGAAUAGUACUUAUUUUUAAACUAAAUUAAAAAUCAAAAGUAAAAGCUUACUUGAUAAACCUCUGCUGACUGAAGGGAGGAUGACAGUUUAUACGCUGGUACGUACACCGACAUGAACACACACGUAUCGUAAAAUAACCUUAUCUAUUUCCAGGGUAAUUAAAAUAAUGUUUAAUUUUAUUUUGAUAUUACUUUAUAAGGAGAUAUACAAAUAUUUUAGGGAUCAUGGGAUCUAUUCCAGAGGAAACUAACCAACAGUGAACAUCUUCAACUAAAACUACCCCUGGAUAUGAUGGUUGCACACAUCAUUCCUUUAUGCAGAGUUAACUGGAUCAAAUUAUUUAUGGGAGAGAGAGGGGAAAGCUAUACAGAAUUACAGUAAUUUUAAAUUUCCACCAAAAUAUUCUUUGUAAGUGAAUCACUCCAUAAAUAUUUUCUGUUGCACUGAAUGCAGCGACAAUAACAAAAUAGUUUCUUAAGGUAUCUGUCUUUGCAUAAUCUGGCCUUGUAAUUACUUAAAUACUAGCCAAAUCUACUGACGUUUUUGAUUCUGUCAAGAAAAAAACAGUCCUCUACUCAGAAGUGAUGACUAGAAACAGAAUCAGACACUUUUUUUUUUGAAAUUAAAUAAAUGGAAAAUUGCUCUUAUCAACUCUUUGUUAAAAUUGUACCAUAUCUAAUUACUUCAUAGAAGUUCAGAUGUGUAAAAAACUCACUUUUUUCAGUCUCUAAAAACUUUUUUGCUCUCCAUAAACUUAUUCUCAGAAUUUUACAAUUAAAGGGAAAUAAACUGUUUUCCUUACACUUCCUUGAAAAAAACCCUUAAGUACACACUCCUUGGAACAUAAAGGUUUUGUUUUGUUUUUUAAGAAAUUCCACUUUUUGGAAUUUCGACUAUCCAAAUUUUUUUUUAAGAGAAGGGGAAUUUGUUAAAUACAUCUAUGGAUAUGAAUGGAUCAUUUAUAUUAAAAUAAUCAGUAGAAUUAUUCUCAACUCACCAGAAUUAAAUUUUCUAACUGUAUAUUUAACACUAUUAACUCUUCCUUAUAUGAAUUCUUAUAUGAACUCUAAGGAAAUUUUCCAAAGGGUCUGGUUUUACAUUUUGUAUAUGAAAUGAAGUUUCCUUUUCUGUGUUUAAGGUACUAUUUUGUAACUGUAUUGCACUGACAACAUCCAAAACACAUUAUGAGCAUCACUGUGGGUAACAACUUUUUAGUUUAUACCUCUUUUGAUUCAUGGCACAACCUUAUAGUUAAUUAAGAGAGGGAGAACUUAAGCUCACAACUGCUUUUUAUUUGGUUUUCACAUCCAUACUAAAAAAAAGUUUGCAUUGAGAGGAAUAUGAGAAAUGUCAAUAAGUUCCUACUGUUUAAUAAAAUAUUGAAAAAAAUGCAUCUAAUUGUAAAACCCAACUAUCAAAGCAUCAGAUACCAAAGUCGGCUGGUAGAGUUGUCAAAUACAUUAGGCUCAUUAAUUAUUUGGAAAAUGGCUGCCCUUUCCAUGUAAAUGACAAGUUUCUUUUUCAUGGGCAAGGUUAUGGUACUUAUCUCCUAUAAGAGACAUGUAUAAACAUAGUCUUUAUCUUUAACUUCAGUUUUAAAAUAUGCAGAGCUUUUGUGAAGAGGAAAAACAUCUGGUUCAAUUACUCUGAACUCUGACUGCAUGUGGGCCAGGAGUAAUAUGAAUUGGAUUUAAGAAUAAACCUUGUGUUUAGUCUUUUUUGUUGUUGUUUUUCCUUAAAAUUUCAAUGUGAGUUUUCUGUUAUGUCAAUCAUCCAUGUUAGCACAUUUGGAACAAAUGUAUAAGUGUACUAUCUGAAUAAAGUCAAAAGUCUAACUUGUUUUUAGCUCCAUAA